rnacentral:other from 1 species
AUCAGCCUAGAAGAUCGGACAGCCAAGUUAGAAAAACCGCCAUGAAUAACGACAUUGGGAGUCUAAUUUAUAAACGGUGUUGAAAACUUACCAUUGAGUAAGAAUCCUAAAGUUUAUAAUGUGACGCCCACCUUGGAAGCAGGGUUUUAUCGUUAAUAUGGCAACCAUCUUUUGGGUUUUUU